GACGAACCGUGCGAACGUUGUUCGGAAUCACUGGGCUUAAAGGGCGCGUAGGCGGGCGAUCAAGUCAGCGGUGAAAUCCUCCAGCUCAACUGGAGAACUGCCCCUGAUACUGGUCGCCUCGAGGGAGGUAGGGGCAUGCGGAACUGCUGGUGGAGCGGUGAAAUGUGUUGAUAUCAGCAGGAACUCCGGUGGCGAAAGCGGCGUGCUGGACCUCUUCUGACGCUGAGGCGCGAAAGCUAGGGUAGCGAACGGGAUUAGAUACCCCGU
rnacentral:rRNA from 1 species